AACGAACGUUAGCGGCGCGCUUAACACAUGCAAGUCGUGCGAGAAAGGGAGCAAUCCCCGGUAAAGCGGCGCACGGGUGAGUAACACGUAGGUAACCUACCCCUGAGUGGUGGAUAACCUUCCGAAAGGAGGGCUAAUACAGCAUAAGACUACGACCUCGAAAGAGGAUGAAGUCAAAGUCGGCCUCUCUACAGAAGCUGGCGCUUGGGGACGGGCCUGCGGCCCAUCAGGUAGUUGGUAGGGUAACAGCCUACCAAGCCGAAGACGGGUAGCGGGUCUGGGAGGAUGAGCGGCCACCCUGGAACUGGGACACGUGCCAGACUCCUACGGGAGGCAGCGGUGGGGAAUCUUGCGCAAUGGGCGAAAGCCUGACGCAGCGACGCCGCGUGAGUGAUGAAGGCCUUCGGGUUGUAAAGCUCUGUGGGAGGAGACGAAUAAGUCGUGAUGAACAAUCACGAUGAUGACUCCAACCUCUUAGCAAGCACCGGCUAACUCUGUGCCAGCCGCCGCCGUAAAAC
rnacentral:rRNA from 1 species